CCCAUUGAGGGCUUUCAGUCGUGGGGCGGGCUCUACGGUUGUCUUUCAAACUUUCUGCAUGCAAUUGGAUAGCACUAGGACCAAUCAGAAUAACGAACAACGUGACGUAAUCACAGCGACGGAAAAGCUCAGGGAGGCAGCAAUGGCAUCUAACAUCAAUGAUUUCUGUCGUUUUUGUAUGAAAAACAUGCGAAUAUCAGGUGUACUGGGACAUUGCACUACCUUGUUUGAUAAAAAUAAGAAGCCGCCAAGUAUACCCGACAGACUUUUGCUCGUUGGAUUGGAGAUUAAAAAACGAUCAGGGAAGUCUAACCGUGUCUGUAGGGGUUGUGUCUCUACGUUAUCAGGAGUGGAAAAAUAUCUUCCACUGUAUUGGAGAUGGGUGGAAAACGAGAAGGACGAUGAAUCCUGUGCAAGAGAAAGCGCGACAAACUCCGAAAAAAGAAACCGAGAACCGUCUCCUCCUAAAACUCCAAGGGCACUGAAAAGGUUUUGCCACAAAGCUACAAGUCCAGGAAUAAAUAAUGUGAGAAGGAGUAUUAAUGCGGCCAUCACCAAGCAGAAUGUGUGUGACACAGAGGAGUCUACGAUAGUGGAACAUAUCACUAACAGGAAAUGGGCAGCAGCGGCUAAGUUCAUCAUGAACCAUAAAGACUUAACUCAAGAAGUAAAAAAAAACAUACUUUCACUGCUUGAGAAUGAGUGCAAGACAAUUUGCAACCCCAACAACAAUUUCAUUUUGUGGAGGUCAUCGCCAGAAGAUCUGAAGUCCUUCUCAUUUGACAAGCUUGAAUCAGACCUACAGCGUCUGUCACCACUUCUGUUCUCUAUCUUUGCUACCAUCUGCAACAACUCCAGUCCUGUCAUCUGUGCUGCUUCUGCUAUCGCACUCAGAGGGCGACAACCCCGUCUGUCAGCAUUUGCUCAUUAUUUGAACUGUGUUCUUCUGUAUGGGGGUGCAAAGAAGGCUGUCUUUGACAGACUUAGCAAACUUGCAAUAACAACUGCUCACACAAAUGCAAUAGGAAAGCAAAAGGAGUUGGCAAACACAUGUGGAGACAGUCUUUUCCUGCUAAAGAGGCUGAACGAAUCAUUCUUGACUCUGGAGACUGAGCGCCAUAGAAAUGUUGGCCUCAGAGAGGACAAAAAGGCAAUGAGUCCAUCGCGCAAACCAGAACUUAUCCCCACAGAUGUCUUCUUGAGCACUGAAGAACUUCAGUUGUCAGAGGAGGAGUUGGAAUGCAGUGAAGAAAAGGCCACUGAAGAAGAAAAUAUCAUGUCUGUGCUUCUGCCAGAGAGCCAGCCAACUCCACCAAACACAUAUUCCAUAAUCAUGGAUAACUUGGAUUUUUUCAUGCAUGCACACCAUCAGUCCACCCUCCACAGUAACAGAUCCAUUCACUGGAUACACCACAUUGCUGUACAGGAUCGUAUUCCAACACAUCACCUGGCCAACGACAUACCGCUUUUGGAUCUUCAACUGUACAACCUCACUAUGUCACUUCCAGGACAUGAAACACAAACAUAUAUGCGGAGAGAGUUUAUUGUCAUUGGUAGUAGAAUUUUGACACAGUAUCUGGCAGUUUUCAAAUCUUUUCGCAAUGUUGUGGUGCAUCACAUACCACAUCAGUACUCGGAGGAAAUGGCACAACCCUCAACGGAUCAUCCGUUGGGAUUGAUUUUCAAAAAUGAAAACAAAACCACUGACUUGUCUGAAGUACUACAAGAAAUUCAGCACAAGUAUGCUCCCAAAGGCCCUGACGGUGUGUCCAAAAUACUGGUGGGAGGUGACAGGCUCACUGAGGCAAACUGUCGAAACAUACAGUGUGCCUUUGCAGAUGGAAACACCAAUGAAGAGAGGCUUGAAGGCAUGGUGUUCAAGUUUGAGGACUGGCAUGCCAUUCGAGUGCUUUUUGAGAUACACUACAAGGUAUUCUUCAGUGGCAAGUCUGGCAAGGACCAUGGCACGCUGUGUGCCAACAUGACAAAGUUAAGUUGUGACAACGCACAAAAAGAAACACAUUUGCUCCAAUCAUCGUCUUUUGUAAUGUGUUUCAAUAACAAUUGCACCACUUUCCACUAUAGAGUGACCCCCUGCAAAUCGGGUCUAUGAAUUGACAAGUCUGGUGCAGCAAUGCCAAGCAGGGUCCCCGUGCUGACUACAUUGCCUACAAGCACUUCUUCACCACUGACACAACUGCGCUUUUCCUAGCGGCUGCUGUGGAUCUCUUUGGGUUAAAAGAUGUUGACGAAAUACCAGAUUCGUUUGUACCAGAGGAAAUACAAUCUGCUGCACCUGAGUUAAGGAGAGUCUGGUUACAUGAAAGAACAUCUGAGGUGGUGGACAAGUGUAUCAUGCUUGGGGAUGUGCCACAGGCUGUUGCUGGUGUCACUGAAUCCCCCCUGAGCUCUACUCAUAAGAAACAUUAUCCCUGUAGAGCUCACGGUUGUCAACAAAGUUACACCUAUCUCAAAUCCCGAGACAACCAUGAGCUUAAAAAGCAUCACAUACAGAUGUCUUUGACAGAACUGCAUGAACACACACCAUCUUCCAACCGUGAUCACAAACAAGAACACACCUUGGCGCGGCUUAGCUUUGGGUUCUUUCUCAUGGACAUGUUGGAUGCUGUUAAAGAGGGUGAUGGGGAGAGACUAAUGAGGUUGUACAGGGUAGCCCUUCUGUAUUACAAAGCAUACGGUCACAGCCAUUAUGCCUACAGUACCUUUCUACUGACGCUGCAGGUAAACGCAUCUCUGACACCCCAGAUGGCACACAGGGUAACCUGGAACAGGUUUUGGAGCACCCGGGGUGGGAAGGGUUGCAACAUACCCCUUGAUCUUCAUCUGGAACACCUGAAUAACUUCCUCAAGUCUUUCCUGAAGGGUCUGGGUCCAAAUUUGUCUGAAGAAGCAGCACGUCGGGUCAGUCAGUGCAUUGGUGUUUUUAGAGGAAUGAUGGACAAAGUAGAUGAAGAGUUGGGUGUCAAAAGUCCAACUGGCACCCAUCGUGCUGCACAGCAAGAAACUGAUGUUUUAACACUGGUAGAGGUUUUCAAGGAGGAGCAGUUGUUUAAAGUUAUUCAUGGUAGACGGUUUCAGGCCUUCCCAGGCUUUGAUCAAAAUCUUCUGCGGAUUAAACAUAAAGAUCUCUGGCAGUGGAUGAACGGAAAACUGAAGGAGUGGAGAAAUCGGAAAAUAUGAAGGGCACACUUUGAAACACUAUAAGGUCUGUAGACACACUGUAAAUGCUUUGUCUGUGUGUGUGCGUGUGUAGUGUAUGUAUGUAUAUAUAUUUUUUUACUAUUUCAUUACCUGUCCCGUGACUUACUUAAGCAAAUGUUUUUGUCAGCAUUUUGUUACUAGUGUUGAAUUAAACACAAAGAAAAUAAAUGACUUUGAGAUUUAUUUACAUGUAGCCAUCUGAAAAGACACACAGUGACAAACAUUAACAAUAUAGUUGUUUAAAACAGUAAAAUAAUGUUGUAGGGGGUUAU